rnacentral:rRNA from 1 species
GAGUUUGAUCAUGGCUCAGGACAAACGCUGGCGGGGUGCAUGAGACAUGCAAGUCGAACGGGGUUGAGCGGGCUUGCUCGAUCAACCUAGUGGCGGACGGCUGAGUAACGCGUAGGUGACCUGUCCGGAAGUGGGGAAUAACUGCCCGAAAGGGUGGCUAAUACCGCAUGUGGUCGGCGAUUCGGUUCGCCGUGCAAAGCCGCAAGGCGCUUCCGGAGGGGCCUGCGUCCGAUUAGCUAGUUGGUGGGGUAACGGCUCACCAAGGCGACGAUCGGUAGCUGGUCUGAGAGGAUGAUCAGCCAGACUGGGACUGAGAACGGCCCAGACUCCUACGGGAGGCAGCAGUCGGGAAUUUUGCCCAAUGGACGAAAGUCUGAGGCAGCAACUCCGCGUGAGGGACGAAGGCCUUC